AAAUGUGUCGAGGCCAGUGACCCCAACGUCCGCUACACGUGUCGCAUCUUGCUGGGCCAGUGCUGAGUCAGCGGCUGUCUCUGACCUCUGACCUUGCUGUCAGGUCAAGGUCAUGACCCACGAGUGGCGCUACUGAAGAGAGAACCAAUUGUUCAUACACUGCUGUCUGUCUAUCUGUCUGUUCGUCUUUCUGAUAGCUCUAGUAUUUCCGUCUGUCUAUUAGUCUGUCCAUCUUUCUGUCUGUGCGUCUAGAAUGUUCUUCAUCAUUCAGAAAGACGUAAGUUUUGUAAAAAUUAAUUAUUUUUUUUUAGGUGUCAAGAUUUAGAGAGGGCUUCAAAAUGUGUUUGUCAAGAUGAGAGUUCCAAAUUAUUUUGGUUGUUUGGGACAGACGGACGGACAAAAGUAAAUGUUCUCUUGAAAUAAAACAAGCUGUUAUUCUGAACGUC